CUUUUUGUUAGGAAGCCUAUGCUAAUUAUAUGUUGCUGAAACAUUCUGACUCCAAUAAUUCUCACUGCAUUUCUCUUAAAAUUUUGUUACAGGCAUUAAGGUUUUAGUGAAGUGUGACCGGGUGAAAAAGCUGGCUAUGGCAACCACAGAAGCUGAUGGCUCCUUUAAGACCAAUCUUCCCUCAGACACUCAAACCUCUUCUCCUCCUUUGAACUGCCUUGCUAAACUUCUUGGUGGCCCGAACCAGCUCUAUGCCUUCAGGAAAAACACGGUCUCCAAGAUUGUGAAGGCCCGAGACGAUAGUUCUUACACGAUCUCCACUCCCCUUUCCUUUUCCACCACAUGUCCUUCAUCUGUAAAAGGUGCGAAAUAUGGGGAGUUUGGGUCAUCCAAGACCGUUGAUCUACCUCUACCGCCGGAGUGGGGACUAGCACCAUCUAGCUACUAUAUUCCUUUCUUCCCCAUCAUCGGUAUACCGUAACUAUUGCAGCAUAAUGAGCAGAUCAAGAAGUGAUUACUAAAAUAUAUAUAAAUAUAAAAGUCUUGCUCUAUCAUGUGAUCUUUGU
rnacentral:lncRNA from 1 species